CGGGAACUGGAUUUCCUCUCUCUCUCUCUCCGAGACUUGGCUGAGUGCUGGACAUCUGACCGAGGAGGAGGAAUUACGACAGUUUUUAAGAGUGAUUUUAAAUGCAAGCAGAUAUCGCUCCCCUACCAGCUUUGAACUCAGUCUGUUUGAACUGGUUGUGUGCGUGCGGUGGUCUAUCGGCCUCCCAAAUAUAAUAAAGACUUUUUUAACGGA